AAUAUUGCACAAUGGGCGCAAGCCUGAUGCAGCCAUGCCGCGUGUGUGAAGAAGGCCUUCGGGUUGUAAAGCACUUUCAGCGGGGAGGAAGGCGAUAAGGUUAAUAACCUUGUCGAUUGACGUUACCCGCAGAAGAAGCACCGGCUAACUCCGUGCCAGCAGCCGCGGUAAUACGGAGGGUGCAAGCGUUAAUCGGAAUUACUGGGCGUAAAGCGCACGCAGGCGGUCUGUCAAGUCGGAUGUGAAAUCCCCGGGCUCAACCUGGGAACUGCAUUCGAAACUGGCAGGCUAGAGUCUUGUAGAGGGGGGUAGAAUUCCAGGUGUAGCGGUGAAAUGCGUAGAGAUCUGGAGGAAUACCGGUGGCGAAGGCGGCCCCCUGGACAAAGACUGACGCUCAGGUGCGAAAGCGUGGGGAGCAA
rnacentral:rRNA from 1 species